rnacentral:rRNA from 1 species
AUUGAACGCUGGCGGCAGGCCUAACACAUGCAUGUCGAACGAGUGGCGGACGGGUGAGUACUGUCUGGGAACCUGCCUGAUGGAGGGGGAUGACUACUGGAAACGGUAGCUAAUACCGCAUACCAUCGGAUGUGCCCAGAUGGGAUUAGCUAGUAGGUGGGGUAACGGCUCACCUAGGCGACGAUCCCUAGCUGGCCUGAGAGGAUGACCAGCCACACUGGAACUGAGAAACGGGCCAGACUCCUACGGGAGGCAGCAGUGGGGAAUAUUGCACAAUGGGCGAAAGUCUGAUGCAGCCAUGCCGCGUGUAUGAAGAAGGCCUUCGGGUUGUAAAGCACUUUCGGCGGGGAGGCGUUACCCGCAGAAGAAGCACCGGCUAACUCCGUGCCAGCAGCCGCGGUAAUAC